rnacentral:rRNA from 1 species
GAUGAACGCUGGCGGCGUGCCUAAUACAUGCAAGUCGAGCGAACAGAUGAGGAGCUUGCGCCGCGGACGUUAGCGGCGGACGGGAGAGUAACACGAGGAUAACCUACCUAUAAGAGGGGGAUAACUUCGGGAAACCGGAGCUAACACCGGAGAAGAUAUUGAACCGCAGGGUGCAAUAGUGAAAGACGGUGGUGGGGGCAGGUAUAGAUGGAUCUGCGCCGCUUUAGCUAGUUGGUAAGGUAACGGCUUACAAAGGCAACUAUGCGUAGCCGAACUGAGGGGGUGAUCGGCCACCCUGGAACUGAGCCGCGGUCCAGGCUCCUACGGUACGCAGCAGUAGGGAAUCUGCCGCAGUGGUGGAGAGCCUGGCGGAGUGACGCCACGUGAGUGAUAACAGUCUUCCGUUCGUGAAACUCUCUUAUUGGGGAAGAACAAAUUUGUCAGUAACUGUGCACGUCUUGACGGUACCUGAUAAGAAAGCCACGGCUAACUACGUG